rnacentral:rRNA from 1 species
GAUGAACGCUGGCGGCGUGCUUAACACAUGCAAGUCGAACGAAGCACUUUACUUGAUCUCUUCGGAGUGAUUGUUUUGUGACUGAGUGGCGGACGGGUGAGUAACGCGUGGGGUAACCUGCCUCACACAGGGGGGAUAACAGUUGGAAACGGCUGCUAAUACCGCAUAAGCGCACAGUACCGCAUGGUACGGUGUGAAAAACUCCGGUGGUGUGAGAUGGACCCGCGUCUGAUUAGCUGGUUGGUGAGGUAACGGCCCACCAAGGCGACGAUCAGUAGCCGACCUGAGAGGGUGACCGGCCACAUUGGGACUGAGACAGGCCCAAACUCCUACGGGAGCAGCAGUGGGG